GAGCGACGCAGCAGAGUGCCACAUCUUGGCCAGGAGGAGGAGAGGGAGCAAUGGGGCUGCAAACCUGGAAGGCCCUAUGCAGGUUGGUCAUCCAGCUGAUUCGCCGGUCAUCACCGUUCUGAGCUACCUCUGAUCUAUUGUUGGUCUACAUUGGCGAAAGUUUUGUUUAGAUUGAAGGUUAAUUGACAACUCAUCUUCCUCUUCUGUACCCACUUGGAAAUAGCUAUUAGAGUAGGGAAAUGACAAUGGCGUGGCUGCAGAACCAUGAAGUGAUGAAGCUCUCAUGAUUCAACCGUCGGCUCCCAUGGAUGCUUACAUAGAUUUAGAAAGUCACACCUAGAAGAAUAUCAGUUCAUGUAUCACAAUGUUUGCUAUGUUAUUGCAGGUGGGUGUGAACUCUUGCUACACCCAAAUGGCGUUUCAUAAUCGGCCUGGCUUCACAUCUUUCACCUUGACACUAAUUUAUUAGUCCAAAUGAUUCGGUUGUUUUGUUUCUUCCUCUCAUUCAGAUGUUUCUUCUUGAACUGUUACCUUGACCUUGACGUGGGGGUGCACCAGCAAGCGACGUGGACUGUGUGGGUGUCUAUUUUUAUAAGUCUCUAUCCAUCUUUACAGUUGCUGAUAAACAGGUCGUUGUAGUUUGGGCUCAUUUUGCAUUCAGCAUGAGGUGCAAUAUCAGUGCCCCUCUCCUUUAGUUCUGAUACUCUACCUGAAACAUUGGCUAUAAGAAGUAACCAUUGUGAAAAGGGAAACAAGGAAAUAAUUGUGUAGGCUAUGAGGAUACCAAAGUGAUAGCUGAAUUCAGUUGUAUGUGCACUUUGUCCAGGAGAAGUUUUAGGAGGCCAGGGAUCGGAAAAUCACGUCAUGUCUAAGUAUGUUUCUUAUAUUGGUGCUCAGCUUAUAAUAAGGCCAGGGGAGGUCGACCAUGGAGUAGACCUGUCGAGCAAAUCAGGAAGUGGUCAUAUGAACUCAUAGAAAAGAUGGAUACAGGUGGCUUUGUAACAUGAGAAUUUCCUUGGUUAUGCACCAAUAAUUCACUCAUUUGGCUGCUUCAUUUGCAAAUUCAGGCGCUCUCUACAGAGUUGUGCUUCCUAUUAGUUUCAAGAUCUCUUUCACAGAAGAUGGAGCUGAGGUCUAGGCAGAUGACUCUUCGGUCGAUUGCCUAUGGAGUUGAAUG